rnacentral:rRNA from 1 species
CCUACGGGAGGCAGCAGUGGGGAAUAUUGCACAAUGGGGGAAACCCUGAUGCAGCGACGCCGCGUGAGUGAAGAAGUAUUUCGGUACGUAAAGUUCUGUCAGCAGGGAAGAAAAUGACGGUAACUGACUAAGAAGCCCCGGCCAACGACGUGCCAGCAGCCGCGGUAAGACGUAGGGGGCAAGCGUUUUCCGGGAUUACUGGGUGUAAAGGGGGCGUAGACGGCAGCGCAAGUCUGGAGUGAAAUCCCAUGGCUUAACCGUGGAACUGCAUUGGAAACUGUGCAGCUAGAGUGCAGGAGAGGUAAGUGGAAUUCCUAGUGUAGCGGUGAAAUGCGUAGAUAUUAGGAGGAACACCAGUGGCGAAGGCGACUUACUGGACUGUAACUGACGUUGAGGCUCGAAAGCGUGGGGAGCAAACAGGAUUAGAUACCCUUGUAGUC